rnacentral:rRNA from 1 species
CUUGUACACACCGCCCGUCACACCAUGGGUGUGGGUUUCACCAGAAGUAGUUAGCCUAACCGCAAGGGGGGCGACUACCACGGUGAGAUUCAUGACUGGGGUG